UGUUGGAGCGGGUUGUAGAUGAGUAGAUAUACCAGGAAGGAUAAAAUCAAUUGGUUGGUUUUGACUGGAUCAAAAACAGAACAAUAUUUUCAUUAUUAAUUACACAUAAUCGUUACAUAUGUCAAUGAUUGAUUUGGUCAAUACUCACUAUACACAAACACCUUGGAAUGAUUUACUUGAUUCUCUUCGUGCUUGUGGCAUUGAAAUGAUUGUUCGAGUUGUCUCGUCGAUAGCAUCUGGUCAUUAACAUUUGUCAUAUUAUUUGGUCAUUCAACAACAUUGAUUCAAAUUGGAAAAACCUUAAGUGUAAAGAGGAAGGAAAACAAAGUGUCCCAUUUAAAAUGAUAUUCACGGUUGAUUAUUUACAAUGAAUUCAAGAUGAGACAAGUCCAAGGCUUAACAAUGAUGGCGAUAAUAAUGAAAUAAUAAUAAUGGUUAAAGGAAAGGGAAGCAAUUAACUUAAUGGAAUCUCAAAGUGAAGAUAAAUAAUGAAAAAUAUUGGCAAAUUUAGAUUCUAGCCUCAAUUUGUUCCCUUUUUCCAACUUCUGCCAGUAAAUGUUAACUAAAAGAGUGUCAAAUUUGUGACAUUUACAUGAGUUAUUCAAUCCAUCGAUCAAUAAAAGCGUUCAAAUUUAUUAUUGAAUUAUUUGAUCGCAUAAAAGAUAUUGAUGAAUAUAAUGCCAGAAGAUUGGAAAAGGAUGAAAAAAAGUGAAGAAAACGUUGGUUAAAUGUAAAAAAACAAAGUAGUCUAUUAAGCUGUAAACAAUUUAAGCUGGAAAAAUAUUCUGAUAUUUGAUUAAGAUUAAUUUUCACUCUGAGUUUCAGUUAAAAAAUAUAGGGACUUGACACUAAUCUUUCAAUCACUUAAAAUAACACUUCUAAUGCCAUGUCAAAUGUUGGUCUUCAGUUAUUAUCUAAUAUGUAACAUGUUUUCAGCAAGGCUCAAAAUUUUCCAAUUUUUCAUUUUGUUUUCCUUUGAAAUUGGUGAUUCCGCAUCAGUUUUUUUUGUUCACAACAAUCAUUAACUCUUGAAUUAUCCAUCUUUUGACAGGCUUUAAUCACAAUGAAAACACUGGACAAACGGACAAUUGGGACAUUGCAAUCAUAAUUGGCUGUAGGAGUUGAGAUGUAAUUAAAAACGAAAGAUUGAUUUAUUAAUGUUUCAUUGAAUUUCAAUAAGUAUCUUAAAUUGAAGUGAUGUCAUCAAAAAAGGAGAAGGAAGCAACAAACUGUAAUUGAUGAGAUUGAUUCUUAAUUAUCUCAUACAAUUUAAUCCAUCGAUUGAAUAACUAUUAAUAACAUUAAUAUCAAUCAUAUUUUUCUUUAUACCCUUCAUAUUUACAAAGGAUUUUAUCUUGACGGCUACAGCAACAUCCAACCUUAAUUACAAAACAAAUGACGCCAAUUUUGAUAUUUACUGUUUUAAAUCAACAAUCAGAUCCUAAACAGCGUAACACGUAACCAGUGUCAUCAUGAGCGUCAUCAAAAAUCAGCACAUUGGGAUUAACAAUCAAUGAAGAUUCAGCCAACUGAUAUUACAUUGAAGAUACAUUGAAGAUGAAUUGAUACUCGUGAACAAUUCACUGCCUGUUUCAAUUGACAAAUCAUUCAAAAUUAACAUUGCCAUUGAUGUUAAUUUUAAUUAUUGAUUUGACAUUUUUGGUAAAAGCAAGGGAAGUAGUAAAAUACAGAAUUAGAUCAAAUUGAUUGAAAAGGAAAUCUAAUGAAAUAUUGAUUUUUUGAUUUCCAAGUUGACCCUUACUUAGUGAUCUCAACAAUUUGUGUUUCAAUUUUGAAUCAUGUUAAUCCUGUCAAGUCAAAUUAGCUGGACAUCAAAGUUGAAACUAGUUCAAUAUAACUACACAUGUAAUGGGUUAUUCACAGCAAAGGUUAACCUAAAUGGACAUCUAAUCACACCUUUACCUUUAAAAUCAAUUAUCUUUGGAAACCUUUCUUUAACCCAUUUCUAAGGCUAUUAUUAACAAUUUAAAAUCUCAAUUUUGGGUUUCUUUCAUCAAGAAAGACCAUCAAUUUAGAAACGUGAUUCCGUUGAUUCACUUUAAUCAAAAUAAACAAAUCAUUGACGGAAAGCAAAAUGGAUGGCAAAAAUGAGAAACAAUGUUGGAAACUGAAGAAGAGAUGAUGAACGGAAUUGGAAUGAAACAAUGAAUCUGUAUCAAUAAUUAAAGAGGUUCACUUAAUGGUUACCCAUUUUAACUCUUGCUUUCACCAUUUCCAGCCAUUCACUAUCUCAAUUUAAUUCAAUGUUUAAACCAGAGGGAAAAGCUGAAAACCAGAAUCUGAAAUUGGGUGAACAUUAUCAAAGAACAGGAAAAAUUUGGAAAAUCACACAAAAAUGUAAAAGCAUUUUGUUAAUCAAAUCAAGCUGAUGGACGUGGAUAAGUUGUCAUCUUUCAUCUUGCUGCAUCAAUCAAUCUGAUUUACAUUUCAAUUCUCAUGAUCCUGAUCGAUUUAUCAACACUUCACAACUUACGAUGAAAGCAAAUUGAUAUCGAGUUUGAAAAUUGAUUCCAAAAACUUCAGACUAUUCAAUUUAUAGUCUAAUGUUGAUCCAUGAAACACUAUUGUUGGUAAAACCGUUUUUUCAAUAUUUUGUGUGUUCAAGAGAUAAUUUAAAUUAUUUCCAAUUUUUUCCAUUUUUUCACCAAAUUUGUAUCACAAUGGAUCGACAAUGAAACCUCUUAAUUUGAAAAUUGCAGGAAUAAAAGAAGAUGAAAAAUGAAUUUAAUCAUGGUGAAAUGAAUUUCAAUUACGAUUAUGUUGACACUAGAGUAAAACAAAUCCAAUCUUUAUUCAUCAUCAAUUCCAGGUUACACCAGACAAUUGUUAACAACUGAACAAAUCUAUUCACCUUUCGUCUUAUGAUUUGCCAUUAAUAAUGAUAUCAUUUGUUGACAAUUUAUACCUUUUAAUUUAAUUGAAAUAACCAAGUGGAAAACCCUAUUUCAUUUGAAUGUUAAAAUAAUCCUGAAAUUCAAUGUAAGGUUAAAAUGAGAAGAUUUGAAAUAAUAAAUAAUGCAUUUGCAA